GAGUUUGAUCAUGGCUCAGGACGAACGCUGGCGGCGUGCCUAAUACAUGCAAGUCGAGCGAGUCUCUUCGGAGGCUAGCGGCGGACGGGUGAGUAACACGUAGGCAACCUGCCUCUCAGACCGGGAUAACAUAGGGAAACUUAUGCUAAUACCGGAUAGGUUUUUGGAUUGCAUGAUCCGAAAGAAAGAUGGCUUUUCGCUAUCACUGGGAGAUGGGCCUGCGGCGCAUUAGCUAGUUGGUGGGUAACGGCCGUACCAAGGCGACGAUGCGUAGCCGACCUGAGAGGGUGACCGGCCACACUGGGACUGAGACACGGCCCAGACUCCUACGGGAGGCAGCAGUAGGG
rnacentral:rRNA from 1 species